rnacentral:rRNA from 1 species
AGGACGAACGCUGGCGGCGUGCUUAACACAUGCAAGUCGAACGGUAAGGCCUUUCGGGGUACACGAGUGGCGAACGGGUGAGUAACACGUGGGUGAUCUGCCCUGCACUUUGGGAUAAGCCUGGGAAACUGGGUCUAAUACCGAAUAUGACCAUGGGAUGCAUGUCUUGUGGUGGAAAGCUUUUGCGGUGUGGGAUGGGCCCGCGGCCUAUCAGCUUGUUGGUGGGGUUACGGCCUACCAAGGCGACGACGGGUAGCCGGCCUGAGAGGGUGUCCGGCCACACUGGGACUGAGAUACGGCCCAGACUCCUACGGGAGGCAGCAGUGGGGAAUAUUGCACAAUGGGCGAAAGCCUGAUGCAGCGACGCCGCGUGAGGGACGAAGGCCUUCGGGUUGUAAACCUCUUUCAGCACAGACGAAGCGCAAGUGACGGUAUGUGCAGAAGAGGACCGGCAACUACGUGCCAGCAGCCGC